ensembl:lncRNA
GAGCCUUACACAACUCCAUUACUAAAUCAGUGAUGUGUGCUUGGAUAUGAACGUGUUAAAAGUGACUAGACCCAGUGUCCAUUUAACUCUUGUUCCAUUUUUUCCUGCCGUGUUUAAACCUUUCCAUAAAUCUAGAUUUCCUGGCUAAUGUAUCAUUGGUCUCCCAGCGGCUCCCCAGUGAGAAGGACAUGGAUGGGGUUGCACUGGGUCUUAUACGUCUACAGGACAUAUACAGACAACUGCAAAUCAUUACAGUGGAUGUGUCAGGACAGGUAAAUGUGACUCCCUUGGAUCCAGAUGACUCCUUCCACGUUGCCAUGGUGGCCCUGCAGAACCACAAGUUCCAGUAUGCCCUGCUCUGGCUCCAGGAGACCUUCAGGCAGCUGGAGGAUGGCAUCCCAGCCCUGGUGACCAGGAGAGAGGUUCUGACCUACCUGGGUCCCCUAGCCUUUCAGAUGGGUAACCUGCCUCUAGCAUUGGAGCUGACGCAACAGUUGCAGGAAAUGGGUAUGUGGCCUAUGUUACAUAAAGGAGCAGUUGUUUCUCUUAUGCACUGGUUUCAAAAACAAUACAGUGAUCGUUAA